UUUUUUUUUUUUUUAAUUAAAAUAGACCUAAUUAAAAUUUAUUUUAAUAAUUAAAUAAAUAAAUUUUAUUUAUUCACUCAUUAGAGACACUGAGAGAGAGAGAGAGAGAGAGAGAGAAGCAGAGGUACAGGCAGAGGGAGAAGCAGACUUCUUGCAGGGAGCCCAACGUGGGACUCGAUCCCAGAUCUCCAGGAUCACGCCCUGGGCUGAAGGCGGCACUAAACCUCUGAGCCUCCCGGGCUGCCCAUAAUAGACAUAAUAUUGUAGAAGUUUGGGGCAUCUGAGUGGCUCAGUUGGUUGAGUGUCUGACUCUUGAUUUUUGGCUCAGGUCAUGAUCAGGGUAGAUAUUCCAUGAGAUAGAGCCCCAUGUCAGGCUCUGGAGCUGAGCACAGAAUCUGCUCUCCCUCUGUUCCUCUCCUCACUUGCUGCUCAGGCACACAUAAAUAAAUAAAAAAAAUGUACAAGUUUAAAGUGUAUAUUGAUUUGAUACAUUUAUAUGUUGCAGUAUGAGAACCACAGUUUGAUACAUUUAUAUAUUACAAUAUGAUCACCACUAUGGUACUAUGGUAAUAGCUAAUACCUUCAUCCUGUUCCAUAAUUAUCUUUUUUUUUUUUUCUUUUAUGAUGAGGAUGUGGGAGGAUUCUUCUUUCUUCCUCCAUGGUUUUUUGAGUCUCAUUAAGGGGUUCCUUAGUUUUGAACAUACAUCCUUUGACCCAGCAGUUCUGCUUCUAUGUUAUGAAGAAAGGUGCAAAGAUUGAGCAGUAUUCUAUUUAUUAUGGCUGCAUUAUUUUAUAAUAGAAAAUUUGUUACAGAAAGUCCAACAAUAAACAAGUCAAUUUUGAGAUAGCCAUUUAGUGAAAUAGUAUGUAGCUGUUAGGAAUUAUUGCCAUGAAGAGAUGUUCAUUUUAAUUUGAAAAAGUGUGGAUGGCUAUGUAGCACGUACAUCUAAAUUACAAAUUAGUACGUGUAUAUAUAUAUAACUAAAAAGGCUGAAAUAAUAGCUGUUUAUAGUUGGUAAAAUGGUGGAUCAUUAUUGUUUGGUAGGAUGUAGUAUUCACUGAAGAAUAUUUUCAACAGCUUUAUUAACAUAUAAUGCAUAUCUCAAACAAUUCACUUAAGUGUAAAAUUCAGGGGCACCUGGGUAGCUCAGUCAGUUAAGAGCCUGCCUUUGGCUCAGGUCAUGAUCCCAUGGUCCUGGGAUUGAGAGCCCCGCAUCAGCUCCCUGCUCAGUGGGGAGAGCCUACUUCUCCCUGUCCCACUGCCACUCCCCUGGGGCUUGUGCUUGUGCAUGUGCUCUCUCUCUCUCUCAAAUAAUCUUUAUUUUUAAAAUAUUUUAUUUAUUUAUUCAUGAGAGACACAGAGACACAGGCAGAGGGAGAAGCAGGCUCCACGCAGGAGCCCACGUGGGACUAGAUCCUGGGUCUCCAGGCUCACACCCUGGGCUGAAGGUGGCGCUAAACUGCUCAGCCACCAGGGCUGCCCUCAAAUAAAAAAUCUUAAAAAAAAAAUAAUAAAGUACAAUAUAGUACAGCUUCAUAUAACCAGAGCAGUGCAGCCAUUUGCACAAUUGUAAAACCUUUUCAUUGUGCCAGAAAGAAACCCUGUACCCAUUUGCAGAUACUUGCCAUUUCUCCCCAGUUCUGUCUCCUCUUUUACCAUAGGCAGUCACUAACCGAUUUGCUUGUUCUGAGCAUUUCCUGUGAAUGGAACUGUAUAACAUGUGGUCUUUAAUGACUGGCUUUUCUCAUUUGGCAUGUUUUCAAGAUUAAUCUGAAUUGUAUCAUGUUAUAGUUCAUUACUUUUAUUGCCAAAUAUUCCAUUGUAUUAAUCUACCAUAUUUUAUUUAUCCAUUCAUCAAUGUAUAGACAUUUGGGUUGUUUUACUUUUGGCUGUUAUGGAUAAUACCAAGUUUUGUGUGUACCAGUUUUUGCAUGGACAUGUUUUUACUUCUGUAGGAGUGGAAUUCCUGGGUCAAGUGAUAACUUAAUGUUUAAUCCUUUCAGGAAUUGCCAGACUAUUAAAUCAGCCAUACAUCAUUUUAACAUUCCUACCAUCAAUAUAUGAGAAUUUUAAUUUGUCAGUAUCUUUGCUAAGACGUGUGAUUGUCUUUUUUAUUAUAGCUAUCUAGUGGUUAGUAUCUUGUGGUUUUGAUUUGCAUUUUGCUGAUGACUAAUGAUACUAUCUUUUCAUGUCUGAAUAUUUUUUAACCUGUACAUAAUGUGAACUAUUUAGAUUUAUAAAGGUUUUUCUCCCUUGGAAAGGCAUAUUUAAAUUUUGGUAUAUUGAUAAAGAUGCAGAUUUAAGAAUGACUUACAUAGUUGACCCCCUGAACUACAUGGGGGUUAAAGGCUUGUACAAUUAAUGUACAAUUAUUUAUGUACAAUUAAUUAGUACAUAUUUUGUAUGUUAUGUGUAUCUUGUGCUGUAUGCUUACAAUAAAACUAGAGAAAAUAAAAUUUAAGAAAUACA
rnacentral:lncRNA from 1 species